AGCUACUCGGAAUAUUUGCGCCAUCAGUUAAGAGAGAAGUUGCCUCCGUGAGAGGAAACGGAUUUUAAAGCAGCAGAGACGUUAACGUUUGCUCCUCUUUUCGAAAUAGCUGCCCUCCGUCGAUGACUCUCGACACCUUAAAACACUCCGCGAUACUCACAACUUUAUUUAAAAUGGCUGAUGAGAAUGAUUUAAUAGGUGCUUCGGAGUUUGUAAAGAUCGACUCUAUUUUGCAACCUUGCGGACCAAACCGAAAAGCACCGCAAACACGCAUUACUUCAGCACGGAUGAGGAGUUUGUGUAUGAAAACUUUUAUGCUGAUUUUUGGCCCCCUCAACCUCGCUAUGCUGUACAGAUACUGCUGUAAACUCAACAAAAAGCUCAAGUCGUUUACACUGACCAGAAAGUGGAUUGUGCACUACACCAGCUUUGACCAGCGCAAAAGGGCUAACGCUGCUGUGCUCAUCGGUGCUUAUGCUGUGAUUUACCUGAAGAAAACACCAGAGGAAGCCUAUAGAGCUCUUAUCUCCGGCUCCAAUGCCUCAUAUCUUCCCUUCCGGGAUGCUUCAUUUGGGAAUUGCACAUACAACCUGACAGUUCUCGACUGCUUGCAAGGCAUUAGGAAGGCCCUUCAGCACGGAUUCCUGAACUUUGAGACGUUCGACGUAAACGAGUAUGAACAUUACGAGCGGGUGGAGAACGGAGAUCUGAACUGGAUCAUGCCAGACAAGCUUCUCGCUUUCAGUGGGCCGCAUCCGAAAAGUAAAAUAGAGAACGGUUACCCUCUACAUGCCCCCGAGGCUUAUUUCCCAUAUUUCCGGAAGCACAACGUCACCACCAUAGUACGCCUCAACAAGAAGAUCUACGAAGCCAAGCGCUUCACUGAUGCCGGUUUCGACCAUUACGACCUGUUCUUCGUGGACGGCAGCACGCCCAGCGACGUCAUCACCCGCCGCUUCCUGCACAUCUGCGAGAGCACGGAUGGAGCGGUGGCCGUACACUGCAAGGCGGGUUUGGGCCGGACGGGGACUCUGAUUGGCUGCUACCUGAUGAAGCACUACCGCUUCACGGCUGCUGACGCCAUCGCUUGGAUCCGCAUUUGCAGACCCGGCUCUGUUAUUGGACCCCAGCAGCAUUACCUAGAAGAGAAGCAAGCGAGUCUCUGGGUGCAUGGAGAUAUUCUCCGCUCCAAGCAGCGGCAGUAUGAGGACAGAUCCGUGCCUCACCUCAUCUCUAGUAUGGACAACCUCUCCAUCAACACCUCCAUCUUUAAAUCACACAGCUUGGACCGUAUGGAGGAGAACGAUUAUGUGGAGAACGAUCUCGGUAUGACACAAGGAGACAAAUUGCGUGCCUUAAAGGGUCGACGGCAACCGAGGUCUGUGACCACUGGAGCCAUAAGCAGAGAGAAACCAGAAGCCACUGGCCAGGGCUCCAUCUCCCCCCUCAAAUCGUCUAAAGUCCCACCAUCCUCCCCGGUCUCUGCCUCUGCCAAGCGAAUUGGCCGCUCUUCAUCUUCAUCAACCAACCUCAAGAGCUCCCUGGUGGCCUUCUUUCCUCUCUGUGAUUACCCUAUGCUCUGAAACAGAGAGCCGUAAACGCAAGGAACCAAGUUGGUUGCUCCAUGCUGUUGGUUUCAAGCGACUUAUUCCCUGCUGGUUAUAUAAUCAGAUAUCCAGAGUCAUAUCACCUACCUACCACUCUGUGACUCUCUCCAAACCAGCACCUAUCAGGGCAUAGCCAUGUAUUUUUGGACCAACACCAGGUUAGCCAGCUCUCUGGGUAACCUGUACGAACCAAAUGGUGAAGCCAACAGCUCUGGGAAACCGCCUUCCCCUUCUUCAUUCACUUCCCACCCCGUCCGCAUGGGUUACAGCAGCCCGAUCGCCACCC